GAAUGCUGACAUAAGUAACGAUAAAGCGGGUGAAAAGCCCGCUCGCCGGAAGACCAAGGGUUCCUGUCCAACGUUAAUCGGGGCAGGGUGAGUCGACCCCUAAGGCGAGGCCGAAAGGCGUAGUCGAUGGGAAACAGGUUAAUAUUCCUGUACUUGGUGUUACUGCGAAGGGGGGGACGGAGAAGGCUAUGUUAGCCGGGCGACGGUUGUCCCGGUUUAAGCAUGUAGGCUGAUUGUCCAGGCAAAUCCGGAUAAUCAAGGCUGAGGUGUGAUGACGAGGCACUACGGUGCUGAAGUAACAAAUGCCCUGCUUCCAGGAAAAGCCUCUAAGCAUCAGGUAACAUUAAAUCGUACCCCAAACCGACACAGGUGGUCAGGUAGAGAAUACCAAGGCGCUUGAGAGAACUCGGGUGAAGGAACUAGGCAAAAUGGUGCCGUAACUUC
rnacentral:rRNA from 1 species